rnacentral:rRNA from 1 species
CAACAGGGAUUGCCCUAGUAACGGCGAGUGAAGCGGCAUCAGCUCAAAUUUGAAAUCUGGCUCUUUCAGAGUCCGAGUUGUAAUUUGCAGAGGGCGCUUUGGCGUUGGCAGCGGUCCAAGUUCUUUGGAACAGGACGUCACAGAGGGUGAGAAUCCCGUACGUGGUCGCUAGCCUUCGCCGUGUAAAGCCCCUUCGACGAGUCGAGUUGUUUGGGAAUGCAGCUCUAAAUGGGAGGUAAAUUUCUUCUAAAGCUAAAUACUGGCCAGAGACCGAUAGCGCACAAGUAGAGUGAUCGAAAGAUGAAAAGUACUUUGGAAAGAGAGUCAAAUAGCACGUGAAAUUGUUGAAAGGGAAGCGCUUGCAGCCAGACUUGCCUGUAGUUGCUCAUCCGGACUUUUGUCCGGUGCACUCUUCUGUAGGCAGGCCAGCAUCAGUUUAGGCGGUUGGAUAAAGGUCUCUGUCAUGUACCUCUCUUCGGGGAGGCCUUAUAGGGGAGACGACAUACAACCAGCCUGGACUGAGGUCCGCGCAUCUGCUAGGAUGCUGGCGUAAUGGCUGUAAGCGGCCCGUCUUGAAACACG